CUACCGUCCAUUUCCCUCAGACUGCCAAGCAGCAGACAACGUGACAGUGCUGGCUGCAGAAGCUGGAUAGAAAUGGUGAGUUUUUAAUUAUUGGACUAGCUUCUAAUGUAAAACAGUGCUUUUUACGUUUACUUUGAUACUAUUAAUAUAUGUACUGCCAUAUAAAAUGAGCUGUUGCAAUGUGCUAAACUCAACUUAGAUGGGAAGCUAAUGUUAGCUAACAAUAAGCAAGCAUGUGCAACUAGCACCACAAAUAGUGCUGUUAAGUUUACUUUGAUACUAUUUUCAUAUGUACUGCCAUAUAAAAUGAGCUGUUGCAAUGUGUUAAACUCAACUUAAAUGGACAGCUAAUGUUAGCUAACAAUAAGCAAGCAUGUGCAAGCAGCAGCAUGUGCACGCGUUGUGAAAUAGAAUGCUGGACAGCUAAUUAGUUAUUUAUUAUAUACUAUAUAAAUAUAUUCAUGUUUUAUCAAUAUCUUUUCACACAGAAUGUGAAUAUUAUGCUCAACAAAGGGAGUGUAAUACUUAAUCUGCGUUAAGACCUGGAUUAUAACUAAUUUCCCUUUAACCAUUUUAAGUAUCCUUACGGUGGCUUUUGGGCCUAUAACACUUAAUAAGCAGUUUUCCAUUUGCCCAAAGAGUGAUUGUAAUAUCUACCCAUGUAUAAAUAGGCAUUUUAAUUCAGAUUGUCAUAGGUAUUGAGAUAGAUAAUAUAAUGUUUGUCGUUAAGAACAGAAGUAGAUGUUACUAUAAUGCAUUCCAUAACAGAUAAACUUAAUGCAUUUCAGUAAAAAUAAAAAAAAAGAGUACUGUAAUGAGUUGGAUGUAUAGCUUUGGCUGAAUGUGUCCCUUGUGCUUUUAGGAGGAUGGAGCAUGUUUGCCAUCCAGUAGUGACAGCUCGAAGUGCACAGAUGCUGAUGUCGGAGAAAUGAAGGAGCCUUUGACCGUGAACAUACUAACCAGGUAGUUCCGAUGAAAAGAUGCUGCUGGCUGGAGAGGUCUGGUGAAUCUCACACAAAAAAGGGUCACCACAAACAAAGAAGAAGUGGACCAAAGAGGAAAUCGAAGCUGUUGAAAGGACCUUAAUGGACUACAUCAAUGGUGGUCAGUGGUCAGAAAUGCAUCACAACAUCGUCACUGGCCGAUCAAGGGAUGAGUUGUCAAAAUAUAUAUUAAAAACUGAAUUUAAAAGAAUUAAAAAAAAGGUAAGCCGCAUUUUCAUCAGAUGGAAGAUUAAAUUCCUGGUGGACUGCCAGCACGUUUACAGACAUUGUUUACAGUAGUCUUAUUGCUCUCUGUUAUUGUUAUAUUUAUAUAAUAUUUGAAAGUUGAAAUGUUGUGCACUG